rnacentral:rRNA from 1 species
GACAGUUCGGUCCCUAUCUGCCGUGGGCGUUGGAAGAUUGAGAGGGGCUGCUCCUAGUACGAGAGGACCGGAGUGGACGAAUCACUGGUGUUCGGGUUGUCAUGCCAAUGGCAUUGCCCGGUAGCUAAAUUCGGAAGAGAUAACCGCUGAAAGCAUCUAAGCGGGAAACUUGCCUCGAGAUGAGUCUUCCCUGGGACUUAAAGUCCCCUGAAGGAACGUUAAAGACUAUGACGUUGAUAGGCUGGGUGUGUAAGUGCAGCGAUGUAUUGAGCUAACCAGUACUAAUGAUCCGUGAGGCUUAACCUUACAACACCGAAGGUGUUU